rnacentral:tRNA from 1 species
GGGGUAUCGCCAAGUUGGUUAAGGCAUCGGACUUUGAUUCCGACACUCGCAAGUUCUAAUCUUGCUACCCCUGCCA